AUUGCAAACUACCUGAUAGGGCAUAUAUUUGGAGUUACCCAUUAUUGCACUAGAUUUCAAAACUGUAAAUGUGUUAAGGUGUACCAUGUUUUGUCUGCUUCAUUAACAUAUUAUCCUAGGCCCCUGGUAUAACAUCUUUAACUAUAAU